AGUUUGAUCCUGGCUCAGAUUGAACGCUGGCGGCAUGCCUUACACAUGCAGGUCGAACGGCAGCACGGGAGCAAUCCUGGUGGCGAGUGGCGAACGGGUGAGUAAUAUAUCGGAACGUGCCCAGUCGUGGGGGAUAACGUAGAGAAAUUUACGCUAAUACCGCAUACGAUCUAAGGAUGAAANCGGGGGACCGUAAGGCCUCGCGCGAUUGGAGCGGCUGAUAUCAGAUUAGGUUGUUGGUGAGGUAAAAGCUCACCAAGCCGACGAUCUGUAGCUGGUUUGAGAGAACGACCAGCCACACUGGGACUGAGACACGGCCCAGACUCCUACGGGAGGCAGCAGUGGGGAAUUUUGGACAAUGGGCGAAAGCCUGAUCCAGCAAUGCCGCGUGCAGGAAGAAGGCCUUCGGGUUGUAAACUGCUUUUGUACGGAACGAAAAGGUCUGCCCUAAUACGGCGGGCCCAUGACGGUACCGUAAGAAUAAGCACCGGCUAACUACGUG
rnacentral:rRNA from 1 species